UACGUAGGUGGCAAGCGUUGUCCGGAUUUAUUGGGUUUAAAGGGUGCGUAGGCGGCUUUGUAAGUCAGUGGUGAAAUACGGCAGCUCAACUGUCGAGGUGCCAUUGAUACUGCAGAGCUAGAGUACUGAUGAGGUAGGCGGAAUGGACGGUGUAGCGGUGAAAUGCUUAGAUAUCGUCAAGAACACCUAUAGCGAAGGCAGCUUACUAGGCUGUAACUGACGCUGAGGCACGAAAGUGUGGGGAUCAAACGGG
rnacentral:rRNA from 1 species